rnacentral:rRNA from 1 species
CCUACGGGAGGCAGCAGUGAGGAAUAUUGGUCAAUGGGCGCGAGCCUGAACCAGCCAAGUAGCGUGAAGGAUGACUGCCCUACGGGUUGUAAACUUCUUUUAUAAAGGAAUAAAGUGAGGCACGUGUGCCUUUUUGUAUGUACGGUAUGAAUAAGGAUAGGCUAACUCCGUGCCAGCAGCCGCGGUAAUACGGAGGAUCCGAGCGUUAUCCGGAGUUAGUGGGUUUAAAGGGAGCGUAGAGGGGUUGUUAAGUCAGUUGUGAAAGUUUGCGGCUCAACCGUAAAAUUGCCAUUGAUACUGGCAGCCUUGAGUACAGUUGCGGUAGGCGGACUUCGUUUUGUAGCGGU